CAACGGACUCACUCCCUUCUGUACCAGCCACAGAAGAAAGUGAAGACCGAAGGA
ensembl:miRNA